UUCCGGUUGAUCCUGCCGGACCCUACUGCUAUCGGGGUGGGACUAAGACAUGCGAGUUGAGCGUCUCUAAGCCAUGGUAGAGACGCGGCGUACGGCUCAGUAACACGUGGCUAACCUACCCUUAGGACGGGGACAACCCCGGGAAACUGGGACUAAUACCCGAUAGGCGAGGAGGCCUGGAAUGGUUCUUAGUCGAAAAGGCGUUGAAACCAUGCUUUUCGACGUUGCCUAAGGAUGGGGCCGCGUCCGAUCAGGUUGUUGGUGGGGUAACGGCUCACCAAGCCUUUAACCGGUACGGGCCGUGAGAGCGGGAGCCUGGAGAUGGGCACUGAGACAAGGGCCCAGGCCCUACGGGGCGCAGCAGUCGCGAAAACUCCGCAAUGCGCGAAAGCGUGACGGGGCUACCCCGAGUGCCGUCCGCUGAGGAUGGCUUUUCCCCGGUGUAAUGAGCCGGGGGAAUAAGGAGAGGGCAAGACUGGUGUCAGCCGCCGCGGUAAUACCAGCUCUCCGAGUGGUAGGGAUGGUUAUUGGGCUUAAAGCGUCCGUAGCCGGCUUAUCAAGUCUCCUGUUAAAUUCAGCGACCUAAUCGUUGAGCCGCGGGAGAUACUACUAGGCUAGGAGGCGGAAGAGGCCGACGGUAUUCUCGGGGUAGGGGUGAAAUCCUAUAAUCCCGGGAGGACCACCAGUGGCGAAGGCUGUCGGCUAGAACGCGCUCGACGGUGAGGGACGAAAGCUGGGGGAGCGAACCGGAUUAGAUACCCGGGUAGUCCCAGCCGUAAACGAUGCGGGCUAGGUGUUGGGGUGGCUACGAGCCACCCCAGUGCCGCAGGGAAGCCAUUAAGCCCGCCGCCUGGGGAGUACGGCCGCAAGGCUGAAACUUAAAGGAAUUGGCGGGGGAGCACCACAAGGCGUGAAGCUUGCGGUUCAAUUGGAUUCAACGCCGGG
rnacentral:rRNA from 1 species